rnacentral:rRNA from 1 species
UACAGGGGGUGCAAACGUUGCUCGGAAUCAUUGGGCGUAAAGCGCACGUAGGCGGUUCGUUAUGUCGGAUGUGAAAGCCCUUGGCUUAACCGAGGAAGUGCAUCCGAAACUGGCGAGCUAGAGUACUAAAGAGGAUCGCGGAAUUCCCGGUGUAGAGGUGAAAUUCGUAGAUAUCAGGAGGAACACCGAUGGCGAAGGCAGGUCUCUGGGCCACUACUGACGCUGAGAAGCGAAAGCAUGGGGAGCAAACAGG